UGAGGAAUAUUGGGCAAUGCCCGCAAGGGUGACCCAGCAACGCCGCGUGGAGGAUGAAUGUCGUAAGAUUGUAAACUCCUGUUAGAGGGGAAGAAUAGUACCGGUAGGACCGGUAUAUGACUGUACCCUCAGAGAAAGCCCCGGCUAACUACGUGCCAGCAGCCGCGGUAAUACGUAGGGGGCAAGCGUUGUCCGGAUUUACUGGGUGUAAAGGGCGCGCAGGCGGGAUAAAAAGUCAGUGGUGAAAUCCUACAGCUUAACUGUAGAACUGCCUUUGAUACUUUUAUUCUUGAGUUCGGGAGAGAGAGACGGAAUUCCAGGUGUAGUGGUGAAAUACGUAGAUAUCUGGAAGAACACCAGUUGCGAAGGCGGUCUCUUGGUCCGACACUGACGCUGAGGCGCGAAAGCGUGGGGAGCAAACA
rnacentral:rRNA from 1 species